AUCACGGCUUGAUGGGCGUUGGGAGAUUGCUGGGUCGGAUGCAUUCUGCUGGAUGCACUGGAUCGCUGAUCACAGACGGCUGGGAAGAGAGGCUGACCGCGGGAUCGACGGGAGGACGUCGUGGAAGAUGGACGACCGUGAUGCACUGCGGGAGGAAGAAGAAAAACAGUGAAAUUUCGUAACACUGUUCAUAUGAACAGUGUCAUUUCGGAAUUCAUAUGAAUAGUGAUUUCAGUAAUUUUGGAAAAUGUUUUUUUUCUUGCUCUAUUUUGACGUGAAAAUGGGCAUAUGUGGAUUUAAAACUAAGGUCUCCCCUAUUUUCGCUUAGUUUGGAAACGUGAUGCGGAGAUGGAAAUUUCUGAAUCAUUGGAUUCUUGGGGGAGCCAUGGACAGUAGUCUCGGAAAAGGAAUGGGAUUGGUUGGGAAUUAGCUUUGGAUUUGAGGUGGGUCAUGAUCGUUGAUUUGCUUGAACUUGUUCUCGAGCCCAAUGUCAUUUAAAUUUAAUUCUUGCUAAACUGCUUCAGACCGAACUCGACCAGAUAAAAUAAACAAGACUAAAAACAAGACAAUGACUUAAUAAAAAGGGUUAAUCAAAUCUUUUCCCCAUACAAAAAUAAUUAAUUAUAACUUUCAAUCUAAUCAGGACCAAAAUCCAUUUAAUUAUAACCUUAGCUUGAUUACAACUCCAUCAGGUUACCAAACCGGGUCAACACAAUCUUCUCCUUAUAUGUUUUCCUAUAGUUUUCAUGAAAGAUCGCAACCAAGAGAGAGACAAGUUCAGAGUCUGGUUUAAGAAAAGAAUUAUUUACUUCUUACCAUAUUUUAAAUUUAUUUUAAUGAUUAUUCAAUUUCAUGGUAAAAUACGUAUUUAUCAGUUUAAGAACAUUGAUAAGUGCUAUGGAAAGAUAACUAAAUUAUAAAUUAUUUAGCACUUAUCACACCCCCAAACUUAUGUUUUGCUAGUCCUCGAGCAAAAUAAAACUAGAAAAGAAAAAUUCUAACUCACUUUCGUAGGCAUCGCGAUUGCAUUUACCAUAUGCAACGAGGCUUUAAACCCCUAGGUUACCCUAGUGAACGAGUUAUAGUCUCGUGAGGGUUUUCAGUAAAGAUACCCACAAACUUCAAUAUUAAAAUAAGUCUUCUUUUUAUUAUUAUUAUUAUUAUUAUUAUUAUUA
rnacentral:lncRNA from 1 species